CUAUGGUUUAUUGGAUCUUGCCCGUUAGAUGGAUAACUGUAAUAACUCUAGAGCUAAUACAUGCCUCGAUGCCCUGACCCUGCUCGUGUUUGCCUUGCUUGCUUGCAUGUGGUGGGGGAUGGGUGCACUUAUUGGAUCAGAAGCCAACCAACUGUGCGUGUGCGGCCCACCGCGAGGUGGACGUCGCGUACGUUGAGACACUCACUUCUGGUGACUCUGGAUAAGCGUUACAGAUCGCAGUCGGCGUUGAGCCGGCGACGGGUCCUUCAAAUGUCUGCCCUAUCAACUUUCGAUGGUAGGUGACCUGCCUACCAUGGUGGUAACGGGUAACGGGGAAUCAGGGUUCGAUUCCGGAGAGGGAGCCUGAGAAACGGCUACCACUUCCAAGGGAGGCAGCAGGCGCGCAAAUUACCCACUCCCAGCACGGGGAGGUGGUGACGAAAAAUACCGAUGCGGCGGGACUCCUUCAAGAGGCUCCGUAAUCGGAAUGAGUGGACUCUAAACCCCUUCACGAGGAUCAAUUGGAGGGCAAGUCUGGUGCCAGCAGCCGCGGUAACUCCAGCUCCAAUAGCGUAUAUUAAAGUUGCUGCAGUUAAAAAGCUCGUAGUUGGAUCUCGGUAGCAUUGUUGCCUGUUGGUGAUUGAGCGGCCGGUGUGUGGUUAUCGGUGCGCGGUUGCCUCGGCGCCUGCAUGUUGGUGGGCCGGUCAGUAGUUGGGCUGGUGGGUUGGCGUUUGUUGCGUUAGGGUGGUUGGUUGGUUAGUUGACCAGCUGAUCUGCUCUUUGCUCGCUCGCUCGCUCGCUUGCUGGCCGAUUGGUGAGCUGGCUCGCUUGUUCGCCUGCGGCGUUGGGGGGACUGUGCAGUCGUGGCCAUGAGCAAGCACUGUCGUGUCAAGCCAACAAGGUGGUGGUGUCGCCUUUAAGCCAUGUCUGUGGUGUAGUCGUCGCAGGUGUGGGCGGGUGUUGGGCAGUGCUCUGCACACGCUGUGGGGCCUGCCGGCUCGUCCACAUGCCUUUGGAUGCCCUUGAUUGGGUGUCUGCGGGCGGAUGGCACGUUUACUUUGAACAAAUUUGAGUGCUCAAGUCAGGCCGAUGUUGCCUGUAAAGUUUUGCAUGGAAUAAUGGAAGAGGACUUCGGUUCUAUUUCGUUGGUUUUCGGGUCCGAAGUAAUGAUCAAAAGAGACAGGCGGGGGCGUUUGUAUGGCUGCGCUAGAGGUGAAAUUCAUGGACCGUAGCCAGACAAACUAAAGCGAAGGCAUUCGUCAAGCAUGUUUUCAUUGGCCAUGAGCGAAAGUCAGAGGCUCGAAGACGAUCAGAUACCGUCCUAGUUCUGACCAUAAACGAUGCCAACUGACGAUCCGUGGUGGUAGUGAUGUUGCCUUCCCCACGGGCAGUCGCCGGGAAACCGUUAAGUGUUUGGGUUCCGGGGGAAGUAUGGUUGCAAAGCUGAAACUUAAAGGAAUUGACGGAAGGGCACCACCAGGAGUGGAGCCUGCGGCUUAAUUUGACUCAACACGCGAAAACUCACCCGGGCCGGACACUGUGAGGAUUGACAGAUUGAGAGCUCUUUCUUGAUUUGGUGGUUGGUGGUGCAUGGCCGUUCUUAGUUGGUGGAGCGAUUUGUCUGGUUAAUUCCGAUAACGAGCGAGACUCCAGCCUGCUAAUUAGUGCGUUCGUCCACUGCGCCCGCGUGGGUGACGUUGGACGAUACCGUCUGCUGCGGGUGCGCAGUUUGCGCUCUUCCCCUCUCUCCUCUCCUCCCCUCUUGCACUUCUUCGUGAGAGUGGGUGGGGUGGGGUGGGGUGAGAGUGCAGGUUGACGCUCGUGGUUGGUUAGUCUGGCGUUGGCCUGCGGGUGCGGCGCGAAUGCUUACUUCUUAGAGGGACAAGCGGGAGAAGCCGCACGAGAUAGAGCAAUAACAGGUCUGUGAUGCCCUUAGAUGUCCGGGGCCGCACGCGCGCUACAAUGACGGUGUCAACGAGUGAGACCUUCUGGCCCGAGAGGGUUGGGCAAACUGGUCAAUCACCGUCGUGACAGGGAUCGGGGCUUGGAAUUGUUCCCCGUGAACGAGGAAUUCCUAGUAGGUGCAAGUCAUAAGCUUGCGCUGAUUACGUCCCUGCCCUUUGUACACACCGCCCGUCGCUACUACCGAUUGAAUGGUUUGGUAAGAUCCUUGGAUCGGCGUCGUUGUGGCAGUUGCCGGAAGGUCAUUGUCCUGCAGACGCUGAGAAGACGACCAAACUUGAUCAUUUAGA
rnacentral:rRNA from 1 species